UACGGAGGGUGCAAGCGUUAUCCGGAUUCACUGGGUUUAAAGGGUGCGUAGGUGGGUUGGUAAGUCAGUGGUGAAAUCUCCGUGCUUAACAUGGAAACUGCCAUUGAUACUACUGAUCUUGAAUUUCCGGAGGUAAGCGGAAUAUGUCAUGUAGCGGUGAAAUGCUUAGAUAUGACAUAGAACACCAAUUGCGAAGGCAGCUUACUACAGGGACAUUGACACUGAGGCACGAAAGCGUGGGGAUCAAACAGG
rnacentral:rRNA from 1 species